rnacentral:tRNA from 2 species
GUCCCACUAGCUCAGUGGUAGAGCAUUUCACUUUUAAUGAAGGGGUCCCGAGUUCGAGUCUCGGGUGGGGCACCA